AUGGUACCUUGAAAGGGGAAGGAAAAAAAGGAAGAACAGGUCAUAAGCCUUGGACCGCAGGUAGCCGAAGGAGAGAAUGUAUUUGGUGGGUGCCACAUCUUUGCAUCAUUCAAUGACACCUUUGUUGAUGUCACUCAUCUUUCUGUCAAGGAAACCAUCUGCUGAGUGAUUGGUGGGAUGAAGGUGAAGGUUGACCGGCAUGAAUUCUCACCAUGUGCUGCCAUGUUGGCUGCCCAGGAUGUGGCCCAGAGGUGCAAGGAACUGAGCAUCACUGUCCUGCACGUCAAACUCUCUGCCACCAGAGGAAAUAGGACCAAGACCCCUGCACCUGGGGCCCAGUCAGCCCUCAGAGCCCUGGCCCGCUGGGGUAUGAAGAUGGGGCCCAUUGAGGAGGUCACCCCCAUCCUCUCCAAUAGCACCUGCAGGAAGGAGGGUGGCCAUGGUUGCAAUCUGUGA